UGCACAGACCAGCCCGUCUGCAGCCUCGAGAGAGAAUAACACAGACGGCGUUGAGGUCUCCCGGGUGCAAACUCCAGCAGCCCCUACCACAUCCACCAAGCCCCCCCCGAGAAGAGUCAGUGGACAGCCCAGGUGCUGGAGAGAGUGGCGGCAGCAGAUCAAACCCCAGAGCCCCUGCCCUGGGUGGGUGCCAGCUUCCCCGAGACAUUCCGUGCCUGUGACAUUACUGUGUGCAGAGAUGAACGAGACGGGAAAAGCCACUGCACCCUGAAGAACUACAAUAUGGUGGGGGAGGCAGAUGCCAAAUCAAUGACACAGAUACCUAUUUAA
rnacentral:antisense_RNA from 1 species